UACGUAGGGUGCGAGCGUUGUCCGGAAUUAUUGGGCGUAAAGAGCUCGUAGGCGGUCUGUCGCGUCGAAAUGUGAAAACCCGGGGCUCAACUCCGGGCUUGCAUUCGAUACGGGCAGGCUAGAGUUCGGUAGGGGAGUCUGGGAUUCCUGGUGUAGCGGUGAAAUGCGCAGAUAUCAGGAGGAACACCGGUGGCGAAGGCGGGACUCUGGGCCGAUACUGACGCUGAGGAGCGAAAGCGUGGGGGAGCGAACAGG
rnacentral:rRNA from 1 species